rnacentral:tRNA from 1 species
UGCUGGGUGGCCGAUCCGGUAAGGCAGCGGGCUGUUAACCCGUGCAAUGUGGGUUCGAAUCCCACUCCAGCAG